UACGGAGGGUGCAAGCGUUGUUCGGAAUCAUUGGGCGUAAAGGGCGCGUAGGCUGUCCGGUAAGUCGGGUGUGAAAUCCCUGGGCUCAACCCAGGAAGGGCAUCCGAAACUGUCGGACUUGAGUACGGGAGAGGGAAGUGGAAUUCCUGGUGUAGGGGUGAAAUCCGUAGAUAUCAGGAGGAACACCGGUGGCGAAGGCGACUUCCUGGACCGAUACUGACGCUGAGGCGCGAAAGCGUGGGGAG
rnacentral:rRNA from 1 species